UACGUAGGGUGCGAGCGUUAAUCGGAAUUACUGGGCGUAAAGCGUGCGCAGGCGGUUUUGAAAGACAGGCGUGAAAUCUCCGGGCUCAACCUGGGAAUUGCGCUUGUGACUGGCGUGCUGGAGUGUGGCAGAGGGAGGUGGAAUUCCACGUGUAGCAGUGAAAUGCGUAGAGAUGUGGAGGAACACCGAUGGCGAAGGCAGCCCCCUGGGCUAACACUGACGCUCAGGCACGAAAGCGUGGGGAGCAAACAGG
rnacentral:rRNA from 1 species